CCCUGGAUGUAUCUUCUUGCUGUCCUUCUAUAUAUUGUGCUAUCUGACCUUCUAUUUGACAAAGGUUUAUAAGCCUAAAUUGAGAGCAAAAACCUGCAAAUGUAUGUAAUCUCAAUAAACCAAUAAGAUUCCUUGAUGCAGAACUUAUUUAUUAAAACACGUUAACAUUUUUCACCACAUUAUUCAUUUCUAAGUUACAAAUAUCUAUCAUAGUUAAUAGCUUGUUUUUAUUUUUUUACUUGUUGCUCAUCAUGGACUUUGAAUCAAGUUUCAGCAAUAACAUUUGGUGGAGCCAUAACUCUGGACUAGUGGAGCAUCUGUUUGUGCUCAUAUUAUACGCAAUUUUCACAUUUUGGAUGCGCCACGUGAUUCAACGAACUGACUCUUACAGAGCGGCAGCCAUUUUCAUAAUCGUAGACCGCUUGUACAAUGGAGGCCAGACCUUCUCAUUUUCUGCAAUAAUACUGUUUUAUCUCUGCCUGUAUCUCCUGUACGCAAAAAUAAACACCAGGAGAACUAUCAACAGAACGUACAGGAUCAAGUUCUUCUGUCAUCAAAUACACAGGUUGCUUGUUCGACUGAGAGGAGUUCUAAUUCUAGCCUCCAUGAUGUACGUCAGAGGAUUCCUGCAGUUUGUUUAUUUCAUGACUGGUAUUGUUAUACUCAAAGCGUAUUCAGCAUAUGUAUUUUUAUCUAUUUCUAUAACUGUAUCUAAUUAGUAUUCAAUUCAUUUCAUAUUAGCACCAAUGCGUCUUUUAAUGCUUAAGUUACAAAUAAAAUGUUCACGUUUUUAUAGACUUUCAGAUACAUGUUUCUGAAAAUAUAUUUUUAAACAAUAAGUACAUGACAAAAACAGUCUCAAUAAACAAGUAUAUUCCAACCAA